GCCCACGUAGCUUAACUGGACAGAGCGCCCGGCUGCUAACUGGGGGGAUGUCGGUCCGAAUCCGACCGUGGGCA
rnacentral:tRNA from 1 species